rnacentral:miRNA from 1 species
GCAGACACAUUCCAGCCAAUCAGCAGCAGACCCUCCCUCCCAGACCCUCCCACCUCCUGGACAGCAUCCAUUUUACAUUCAUUGUGAAGCUGCAUUCUUAGUGAGCUGUCCAUGAGGUGGGAGGGUCUGGGAGGGAGGGUCUGCUGCUGAUUGGCUGGAAUGUGUCUG